GCGGGAUUAGUUUAAUGGUAAAACGUCAGUUUUCCAAACUGAGGUUGGGAGUUCGAUUCUCCCAUCCCGCACAA
rnacentral:tRNA from 9 species